GACGAACGCUGGCGGCGUGCCUAAUACAUGCAAGUCGAACGCUGAAGAGAGGAGCUUACUCUUCUUGGAUGAGUUGCGAACGGGUGAGUAACGCGUAGGUAACCUGCCUUGUAGCGGGGGAUAACUAUUGGAAACGAUAGCUAAUACCGCAUAACAAUGGAUGACACAUGUCAUUUAUUUGAAAGGGGCAAUUGCUCCACUACAAGAUGGACCUGCGUUGUAUUAGCUAGUAGGUGAGGUAAUGGCUCACCUAGGCGACGAUACAUAGCCGACCUGAGAGGGUGAUCGGCCAAACUGGGACUGAGACACGGCCCAGACUCCUACGGGAGGCAGCAGUAGGGAAUCUUCGGCAAUGGGGGCAACCCUGACCGAGCAACGCCGCGUGAGUGAAGAAGGGUGUCGGAUCGUAAAGCUCUGUUGUAAGUCAAGAACGGGUGUGAGAGUGGAAAGUUCACACUGUGACGGUAGCUUACCAGAAAGGGACGGCUAACUACGUG
rnacentral:rRNA from 1 species